UAUAUGUAGACAUGUAUAUUGUUUUACAUAAAUACUAGAUUGAUUAGUUUAAUUGGGAAUGAUAUUGAAAUUAAAUUUUGUUUACAGCUAUCUUAAAUUUGCAGUUGUGCGUAUUUACAAUACAGACUAUACAGAUGUUAUUUUGCAACAUUGUAAACCAGAUUGGCUCAAAUAAAAUAUAUAGUUAUUUCAAAACUGGCCAAUAUGUUUUUACACACAAUGUUUAAUGGUUUAAAUCCAAAACUUAUGAGAAUUAUUAAACCAAUACAAUAAAAAUGAUAUUAAUUGAAAAAUACUAAAAUGUAUCAUGCAAAAUUCCAAACAAUGAUGUACUCACACACAAUUCAUAUAUAAACAUGCCAAGCUGAUGUUAACUAUGCCAAUAUUAGAUUAUAACAAUAUUGUAACUCUCUAAGGGAAUAUGAAUGACGGUUGCUGAGCCAAUGUGAUCAUCUCCUGUUUGUUGAAACGCAUUUCAUUUGUUGGGUCUAAAAAUAAGGUGCGAGUCAAAUGUUGUGCACGAAAACCAUACUUGAAUACUAACCG